rnacentral:rRNA from 1 species
UGAGUUUGAUCCUGGCUCAGGAUGAACGCUGGCGGCGUGCCUAACACAUGCAAGUCGAGCGAUUUACUUCGGUAAAGAGCGGCGGACGGGUGAGUAACGCGUGGGUAACCUGCCCUGUACACACGGAUAACAUACCGAAAGGUAUGCUAAUACGAGAUAAAAUACUUUUAUCGCAUGGUAGAAGUAUCAAAGCUUUUGCGGUACAGGAUGGACCCGCGUCUGAUUAGCUAGUUGGUAAGGUAACGGCUUACCAAGGCGACGAUCAGUAGCCGACCUGAGAGGGUGAUCGGCCACAUUGGAACUGAGACACGGUCCAAACUCCUACGGGAGGCAGCAGUGGGGAAUAUUGCACAAUGGGCGAAAGCCUGAUGCAGCAACGCCGCGUGAGCGAUGAAGGCCUUCGGGUCGUAAAGCUCUGUCCUCAAGGAAGAUAAUGACGGUACUUGAGGAGGAAGCCCCGGCUAACUACGUGCCAGCAGCCGCGGUAAUACGUAGGGGGCUAGCGUUAUCCGGAUUUACUGGGUGUAAAGGGAGCGUAGACGGUGAUGCAAGUCUGGAGUGAAAUGCAGGGGCCCAACCCCUGAACUGCUUUGGAAACUGUGUGACUGGAGUGCAGGAGAGGUAAGUGGAAUUCCUAGUGUAGCGGUGAAAUGCGUAGAUAUUAGGAGGAACACCAGUGGCGAAGGCGGCUUACUGGACUGUAACUGACGUUGAGGCUCGAAAGCGUGGGGAGCAAACAGGAUUGGAUACCCUGGUAGUCCACGCCGUAAACGAUGAUCACUAGGUGUCGGUGAGUAGAGACUCAUCGGUGCCGCAGCCAACGCAGUAAGUGAUCCACCUGGGGAGUACGUUCGCAAGAAUGAAACUCAAAGGAAUUGACGGGGACCCGCACAAGCGGUGGAGCAUGUGGUUUAAUUCGAAGCAACGCGAAGAACCUUACCAGGCCUUGACAUCCGGAUGGCCGGGACUUAACCGUCCCUUCUCUUCGGAGCAUCCGAGACAGGUGGUGCAUGGUUGUCGUCAGCUCGUGUCGUGAGAUGUUGGGUUAAGUCCCGCAACGAGCGCAACCC